rnacentral:tRNA from 1 species
GCCUCGGUGGUGUAAUAGAAAUCACGGCAGAUCGGAUAUCUGUAAGUGCAGGUACGAGUCCCGCCUGAGGUU